ACGGGAGGCAGCAGUGAGGAAUAUUGGUCAAUGGACGGAAGUCUGAACCAGCCAUGUCGCGUGAAGGAAGACGGUACUACGUAUUGUAAACUUCUUUUAUCUGGGGGUAAAGUGGCCCACGAGUGGGCUAUUGCAAGUACCAGAUGAAUAAGCAUCGGCUAACUCCGUGCCAGCAGCCGCGGUAAUACGGAGGAUGCGAGCGUUAUCCGGAUUUAUUGGGUUUAAAGGGUGCGUAGGCGGGCAAUCAAGUCAGCGGUGAAAUUCUGUGGCUCAACCAUAGGACUGCCGUUGAAACUGGCUGCCUUGAGUGCGGCAGAGGUAGGCGGAAUGUGUGGUGUAGCGGUGAAAUGCAUAGAUAUCACACAGAACACCGAUUGCGAAGGCAGCUUACUGGAGCGCAACUGACGCUGAGGCACGAAAGCGUGGGGAUCGAACAGGAUUAGAUACCCUGGUA
rnacentral:rRNA from 1 species